rnacentral:lncRNA from 1 species
CAGAAGGGAAAACAUCUUAUUUAUCAAAUACUUACAAUAUGAGAAAUAAACACAAUCUAAAAUAAAUAUAUAUUUUUAGAAUAAAAUACAAUUAUAAUUUAUAUAUUAACUUUUCGAACAUAUGUCAUUCGUGCAGUAGAACGGGUUAUCCCCUAGUUUACUAUUUUUUUUUUUUUGUCAACUGAAAUUAUAUUCAUCAACUUGGUUUCACACCAAGGUAGAUUACAAAGCCCAAAUAAGGGAAGCUAAAGCCGACGGACGAACUAAAAGUCCUCGGAGUCAAUGCCGGCAGAAAACGAGAUUUCUCCGGAGUCAAAGCCCGAUAGAAGGGAAACAAAAAGCAUAAAAAUACAAAAC